rnacentral:rRNA from 1 species
AGUGGCGGACUGGUGAGUAACACGUAAGCAACCUGCCUAUUAGAGGGGAAUANCAGUGAGAAAUCAUUGCUAAUACCGCAUAUGCCAUAGAUACCACAUGGUAUCAGUGGGAAAGGAGCAAUCCGCUAAUAGAUGGGCUUGCGUCUGAUUAGAUAGUUGGUGGGGUAAAGGCCUACCAAGUCGACGAUCAGUAGCCGAACUGAGAGGUUGAACGGCCACAUUGGGACUGAGAUACGGCCCAGACUCCUACGGGAGGCAGCAGUCGGGAAUAUUGCACAAUGGAGGAAACUCUGAUGCAGUGACGCCGCGUGCAGGAAGAAGGUUUUCGGAUUGUAAACUGCUUUAGACAGGGAAGAAACAAGACAGUACCUGUAGAAUAAGCUCCGGCUAACUACGUGCCAGCAGCCGCGGUAAUACGUAGGGAGCAAGCGUUAUCCGGAUUUAUUGGGUGUAAAGGGUGCGUAGACGGGCUAACAAGUUAGUUGUGAAAUCCCUCGGCUUAACUGAGGAACUGCAACUAAAACUAUUAGUCUCUGAGUGCGGGAGAGGAAAGUGGAAUUCCUAGUGUAGCGGUGAAAUGCGUAGAUAUUAG